AUACGGGGGGUGCAAGCGUUAUUCGGAUUUAUUGGGCGUAAAGAGCGCGUAGGUGGCUUGGUAAGUCAGAUGUGAAAGCCCGGGGCUCAACCCCGGAAGUGCAUUUGAAACUAUCAGGCUUGAGGAUGGGAGAGGGAAGUGGGAUUCCUGGUGUAGAGGUGAAAUUCGUAGAUAUCAGGAGGAACACCGGUGGCGAAGGCGACUUCCUGGACCAAUACUGACGCUGAGGCGCGAAGGCGUGGGGAGCAAACAGGAUUAGAAACCCUAGUAGUCC
rnacentral:rRNA from 1 species